UAGGGAAUCUUCCACAAUGGACGCAAGUCUGAUGGAGCAACGCCGCGUGAGUGAAGAAGGUUUUCGGAUCGUAAAGCUCUGUUGUUGGUGAAGAAGGAUAGAGGUAGUAACUGGCCUUUAUUUGACGGUAAUCAACCAGAAAGUCACGGCUAACUACGUGUCAG
rnacentral:rRNA from 1 species